rnacentral:rRNA from 1 species
GACGAAGGAUGCAAGCGUUAUCCGGAUUCAUUGGGUUUAAAGGGAGCGUAGGUGGCCUGCUAAGUCAGUGGUGAAAUCUCUGGGCUUAACCCAGAAAUUGCCAUUGAUACUGGUGGGCUUGAGUGCAGUUGCUGUUGGCGGAAUAUGACAUGUAGUGGUGAAAUACAUAGAGAUGUCAUAGAACACCGAUUGCGAAGGCAGCUAACAAAACUGUAACUGACACUGAGGCUCGAAAAGUGUGGGGAUC